GCCUCCUUAGCUCAGCUGGUAGAGCAACUGACUUGUAAUCAGUAGGUCGUUGGUUCGAUUCCGACAGGGGGCUCCC
rnacentral:tRNA from 1 species